rnacentral:rRNA from 1 species
CGGAUUGUAGUCUGCAACCCGACUACAUGAAGCCGGAAUCGCUAGUAAUCGCGGAUCAGAAUGCCGCGGUGAAUACGUUCCCGGGUCUUGUACACACCGCCCGUCACACCAUGGGAGUCGGGAAUGCCCGAAGUCAGUGACCCAACCCAAGGGAGGGAGCUGCCGAAGGCAGGCCUGGUGACUGGGGUGAAGUCGUAACAAGGUAAC